rnacentral:rRNA from 1 species
AGAGUUUGAUCCUGGCUCAGAACGAACGCUGGCGGCGCGUCUUAACCAUGCAAGUCGAGCGGCAGGCAGCAAUGCCGAGAGCGGCGGACUGGUGAGUAACACGUGGAUAACGUACCCCGAUGCCCGGGACAGCCUGUAGAAAUAGAGGGUGAUACCGGAUAGAUCACUGUAUACGGAAGGUAGACAGCGGGAAAGGAGCUUCGGCUCCGCGCCGGGAACGGUCUGCGGCCCAUCAGCUGGACGGCGGGGUAACGGCCCGCCGUGGCGAGGACGGGUAUCCGGCCUGAGAGGGCGGACGGACACAUUGGGACUGAGAUACGGCCCAGACUCCUACGGGAGGCAGCAGGUAAGAAUAUUCCGCAAUGGGGGGAACCCUGACGGAGCGACGCCGCGUGAACGAAGAAGGCCGGAAGGUUGUAAAGUUCUUUUCUGUCCGAGGAAUAAGUGUAGGAGGAAAUGCCUGCAUGGUGACGGUAGGGCAGGAAUAAGCACCGGCUAAUUACGUGCCAGCAGCCGCGGUAACACGUAAGGUGCGAGCGUUGUUCGGAAUUAUUGGGCGUAAAGGGCAUGCAGGCGGGUCGCCAAGCUUGGUAAGAAAUACCGGGGCUCAACUCCGGAGCUAUAUUGAGAACUGGCGAGCUAGAGUUGCCGAAGGGUAUCCGGAAUUCCGCGUGAAGGGGUGAAAUCUGUAGAUAUGCGGAAGAACACCGAUGGCGAAGGCAGGAUACCGGCGGACGACUGACGCUGAGGUGCGAAGGUGCGGGGAGCAAACAGGAUUAGAUACCCUGGUAGUCCGCACAGUCAACGAUGUACACUGGGCGUGUGCGCAAGAGCGUGCGUGCCGAAGCAAACGCGAUAAGUGUACCGCCUGGGGAGUAUGCCCGCAAGGGUGAAACUCAA